rnacentral:rRNA from 1 species
CCUACGGGAGGCAGCAGUGGGGAAUAUUGCACAAUGGGGGAAACCCUGAUGCAGCGAUGCCGCGUGAGUGAAGAAGUAAUUCGUUAUGUAAAGCUCUAUCAGCAGGGAAGAAAAUGACGGUACCUAAGUAAGAAGCCCCGGCUAACUACGUGCCAGCAGCCGCGGUAAUACGUCGGGGGCAAGCGUUAGCCGGAUGUACUGGGUGUAACGGGAGCGUAGACGGCAGUGCAAGUCUGGAGUGAAAGGCGGGGGCUCAACCCGCGGACUGCUCUGGAUACUGUACGGCGUGAGUGCAGGAGAGGUAAGUGGAAUUCCGGGUGUAGCGGUGAAAUGCGUAGAGAUUAGGAGGAACACCAGUGGCGAAGGCGGCUUACUGGACUGUAACUGACGUUGAGGUUCGAAAGCGUGGGGAGCAAACAGGAUUAGAUACCCGGGUAGUC